UGGGGAAUAUUGGACAAUGGGGGAAACCCCGAUCCAGCAAUGCCGCGUGAGUGAAGAAGGCCUUAGGGUUGUAAAGCUCUUUCGCCCGCGAAGAUAAUGACGGUAGCGGGAGAAGAAGCCCCGGCUAACUCCGUGCCAGCAGCCGCGGUAAUACGGAGGGGGCUAGCGUUGUUCGGAAUUACUGGGCGUAAAGCGUACGUAGGCGGAUGCGCAAGUUGGGGGUGAAAUCCCGGGGCUUAACCUCGGAAUUGCCCUCAAAACCGCACGUCUUGAGACCGAGAGAGGUAAGGGGAAUUCCUAGUGUAGAGGUGAAAUUCGUAGAUAUUAGGAAGAACACCAGUGGCGAAGGCGCCUUACUGGCUCGGUACUGACGCUGAGGUACGAAAGCGUGGGGAGCAAACA
rnacentral:rRNA from 1 species